ensembl:processed_transcript predicted gene 15270
CCGUCCCUUCCGUCAGUCCCGGGGCUUACCCGGGUGCAGAGGGCGAGGAGCACCAAGGCGAUGGGACCUGCGACGGAGGCGAGCAUGGUCGGGGCGCGGCGGGAGGACGCACAGCGGAGUGCAGAGGCGACGAGUGGCGUGGCCGGAGCCUGGACUCGGACAGGGGAGGAGAUCCUCUUGCAAUAUGCACUGUUUGUGAAGACAGCAGACCACAGGGAUCUUGGAGAUCAUUCAGCGGAAACAUGAGACCACCCCCUUCAGAGUGUACAAGGUGGUACACAGAGCCAAUGGGGUGUGGCUUCCUGCUCUGAUAACCUCAAGGUUGGUAAUGCUGAGCUGCUGGUGACUAAGCAAAGCCUGACACAGCUUCACAAGAGGUCCCUCAAACUCUGACCACCAUGGAGACUUGGCAAUCCAUUCAGACUACUUUGAGAAGCAGUUCAAAACUGAUUUGUGACUUAUG